UACGGAGGAUGCAAGCGUUAUCCGGAAUGAUUGGGCGUAAAGCGUCCGUAGGUGGUUUUGUAAGUCUGUGGUUAAAGCGUGGGGCUCAACCCCAUAAAGGCCAUGGAAAUUACAUAACUUGAGUAAAGUAGGGGUAGAGGGAGUUCCCAGUGUAGCGGUGAAAUGCGUAGAGAUUGGGAAGAACACCGGUGGCGAAAGCGCUCUACUGGACUUAAACUGACACUGAGGGACGAAAGCUAGGGGAGCGAAAGGG
rnacentral:rRNA from 1 species